UGAUAGGAGCACAGAAGUCAAGUCCAUGU
rnacentral:piRNA from 1 species